AAAAUUUUGACUCAUAAUACAGUAAAGGUACGUUUGGUUUAUGAUUGAAAUAAAAAUUAAAAAUUAAAUUAGAUUGCAUCGGAAUGAAAAAUGGAAUUGUGAAUCAUCCAAAACUGUUUGAUUCAUUAAUCGAAUGAAAAUUAGAAUAGACAAUUUGGAUGUUUAGAAUUUGGAGAGAAUUUUGAUUAAGAAAAAAAAAAAAAAAGAGUGAUGAGAAGACACGAGGGGCAGCCGGGCAGGUGCUUGUAAGAGUUUUAAAUGAUUUACUUCAAAAAUGGGCGAAUCAAGAAUUCAAAGUCGAAUUGGGCCAUAGAUAGAUUUUGCCAUUUCCAUUUUAGAGUGAAAUGUGAAUCAGAAUUCAAUUUCUGCAAAACAAACAACAACUAUCGGAAUCAGUAAAUCAGAUUAUCAUUUUAAAGUCUAAAAUAAGUGAAUCAAACAAGCCCUAAUAUUAUGUUUGGCCUUUCAACAUGUCUUACUCACGUAUUCAAACUACGAUCAUUUUGCUGAAUAACACUUUCAAAUUCAAAGGUUGGUCAAACUUAAAAUUUAUGUUCAAUCUUAACGGUUGUUGCGGGGAGAGGUUGGGGCCAACCCAAAAGGUGUUUGGUUUAAACUAACUCUAAACUAGCCAAAAUAGGUGAAUUAUGGACACAAAGUUUGAUUUCUAAACCAACUAAACUCGAUUGCAAAUUUUACCUACUAAAUUCCUUUCGAUGUGAACUCAUAUCAGAUCCAGAAAAUAUCAAGACUUGUUCCAAAUUCAAAGCCCUAAAGAUAACAACAAGUUCUGUUAAGCACUGCAGAAAUACACUACAAAUUACUCAGCAAGAACAAUUGUUAGUUUUUUCUUUUGUUGCCGCCUUAGUCAAGGCUUCUGUUGUCUCAUUCCUGUAGCCUAGUUCAUCUCUUCAAUGAAUAAAAUAGAUAGCGUGCUAUCGUUUUCUUAUAAAAAAAAAAAGAAAUAAUUGUCAAUCCCCAGUAGAUCUAAGGUUCAAUCU
rnacentral:lncRNA from 1 species